CUUUGAGGGCAGCUCGGUGCCAGUCCAGUUGAUUGAUGGGUGCCACUGCUUGGCUGUGUCCCUUCAGAUUAUUCUCUCUGUCCUCACACGUCACUGUCACUUGUUUUUCUCCUCAGCUCGGCCAGUGAGGGGUCGCCAUCUUCUUGCCACUCGCUGCUCCUCUUCGUGAUGACGACGUCCGCCACGCUGUGUCUUCUGCUCCAUGCGUGAGGACGGCCAUCACUGCCAGCUGUGGGGUGAAGCCUGAAGAAGCCGACUGGCAGCGGACAGACCACCGCAUUUGGAGCUGCUGACAUCUUGCCACUUUCUCAUUUUCGGGAGAGCUGCAGAGCAGACAAUGCCAGCGGGCACACAGAGAAAAUCUGGUAACUCGGAGGAGGAACCCAGCAGGGAGAAGGAGGAGAAGGGCGGGCAGAGUGGCACAGCGCAGGACGACGGCGGGCUGGUCGACGGGGCUGCCGAGGGUCUCGCAUGUGUUAAGCAUCUGUGUGCCGAGGCCAAGGAGACAGCACCGUGCGCCCUUCGUCCAGAGUCUGCGCUGCCUGUGAGGCGUCGGUGGGUCGGCAGACUGCUGCGGGACCACAGGACAUCAUCGGACCGAGAGCUGGCACAUCAGAAGAACAAAAGGGCACUGAGGAGGGUGAAGGAAAGCGAGAGCCAAAAAAGAGAAAAAGGAGGAAUAAAAAGAAGAGAAAAAAGAAAAAAAACUAAAUCCAGCGGUACAUGGGGGAAGAGCCCAGAAGAUGGGGGCACAGAGGAGGUUGAUCUGAAAACGACAAAACGGAGGAGGAGGAGGAGGAGGAAGAGAAAAACAAAAAGAAAGUGGACUGGUGGUAAGCGGGCAGGUAAAGAUGGGAGGCCACUGGAGACCCCCUGGGGGAGCCGACAGCUAAAUGGGUGGCUUUCUGUUGGAAUUCCUAGUAAAAUUGAUUUGCACCCUGACUUUGAGUAAAAGGCUUCAGUCGCAUAAAUCAAAGAACAGAACACCGAUGGACGAGCGGAUGGCACUCAGGCAGAUGUCUAAGGCCAUGCUGGGCACUUCUGGGGCAUCACGAGCAGCGACAGUGCAGAUAAUUAGGAGGCCACUGAUCAUCACCGGCACUUUUGUGUUUUAUGACUAAGACAAGAGGUAGGGAACUUUGGUAACCUUAGUGCCACAUAAUGGCAAAUAAAUAAAAGAAAGGGAAAGAAAACAUAUUCAGCAACAAAAUGUCCAUUAUGUCAAAGAGCAAAUGAACACAAACAACACAAAUCCUGAUCUGUCAAACACGUUUAGUCAUUUUAGGAAGCAAAAGAGAGAAGAGUUUAAAGUAGACCUGGGGGUGAUCUAAAGAUAGAUGGAUGGAUAGAGUGAAAGGCGCUAUUUAAUUAAUAGAUAUGAAAGGUGCUAUAUAAUAGAGAGAGAGAGAGAUAUGAAAGGCAAAACCCACAUAACUUCAGCCUAUCACAGUACAGGACCGAUGGCACCUGUGACGGUGGGCUACACUUGACUCUAGGGCCGCCAUCUUGUGAAGUGUGACGACUGGCUGCUCCUGUUCAGCCUUUUCUGCUGAUUGUGUUAUUACAGCAGCACGGGGUCCCACCACUGGAUGGCGCUGAAGGUUGUGGUGGUCACGUCCUUGGUGGCUCUUAAGAGUUUUGAGUGUCAGGGUCUUCGGUGCUCUUCCUUUGUUCUGUUGAAUUGUCGGUUUCACUUUUGUCUGCUGUGCCAGGCUCGUUCUUCACUUCCUCCAUGUCAGCCCUGUGCCAUCUACUCAGAGGUGCCGCCCUCUUGUGGUACACUGGUGCUCUGUUUUGUGUCUCUUCAUUUAUUUCUCUUUCUUUGUUUCGUAUUCCAAGGUGAAUUUGAUCCGAGAGUGCUGCACUUUUUGUACCGAAGGAUUGUCAUGGGCAGCGAGAAGGAGGGGCCCCAUGUCACCUCCUGAAGAAUGACAGACCCACGGCUGACCAGAGGCUCCUCACCUUCACUGUCCGCUCAUCUCAGUCAGGGGUGGGCAACACCUGGGCGGCUGAAAAACCUUUUGUACCAGAUGCCAUUACGCUGGUAUGAAGACACGCCCACACUGUUGUCAAGAGAGGCAGGAGGUCCUGAUCAGUGAGAAGAUGACAUGAAGUGGAGAAGUGGAGACUGGGACUUUGUUCUUUGGUGUUCUUUGAUGAUCUUUGGUGUUUUUGGUGUUCUUUGAUGAUCUUUGGUGU